rnacentral:piRNA from 1 species
GGGGCAAUUACGUACGGCUCAACAUGAAG